AUUGAACGCUGGCGGCGUGCUUAACACAUGCAAGUCGAGCGGUAACAGGUGUAGCAAUACAUGCUGACGAGCGGCGAACGGGUGAGGAAUGCUUCGGAAUCUGCCUCGUAGUGGGGAAUAACUAGCCGAAAGGUUAGCUAAUGCCGCAUACGAACCACGGUUGAAAGCGGGGGAUCGCAAGACCUCGCGCUAUGGGAUGAGCCGAAGUCCGAUUAGCUAGUUGGUGAGGUAACGGCUCACCAAGGCGACAAUCGGUAGCUGGUCUGAGAGGACGACCAGCCACACUGGGACUGAGACACGGUCCAAACUCCUACGGGAGGCAGCAGUGAGGAAUAUUGGUCAAUGGGCGGAAGCCUGAACCAGCCAAGUAGCGUGCAGGAUGACGGCCCUAUGGGUUGUAAACUGCUUUUAUACAGGAAUAAAGUUAGCCACGUGUGGUUAUUUGUAGGUACUGUACGAAUAAGGACCGGCUAAUUCCGUGCCAGCCGCCGCAGUAA
rnacentral:rRNA from 1 species